GAUGAACGCUGGCGGCGUGCCUAAUACAUGCAAGUCGAGCGAACGGACGAGAAGCUUGCUUCUCUGAUGUUAGCGGCGGACGGGUGAGUAACACGUGGAUAACGUACCUAUAAGACUGGGAUAACUUCGGGAAACCGGAGCUAAUACUGGAUAAUAUUUUGAACCGCAUGGUUCAAAAGUGAAAGACGGUCUUGCUGUCACUUAUAGAUGGAUCCGCGCUGCAUUAGCUAGUUGGUAAGGUAACGGCUUACCAAGGCAACGAUGCAUAGCCGACCUGAGAGGGUGAUCGGCCACACUGGAACUGAGACACGGUCCAGACUCCUACGGGAGGCAGCAGUAGGGAAUCUUCCGCAAUGGGCGAAAGCCUGACGGAGCAACGCCGCGUGAGUGAUGAAGGUCUUCGGAUCGUAAAACUCUGUUAUUAGGGAAGAACAUAUGUGUAAGUAACUGUGCACAUCUUGACGGUACCUAAUCAGAAAGCCACGGCUAACUACGUG
rnacentral:rRNA from 1 species